rnacentral:antisense_RNA from 1 species
AAAGGCACGACAUUGCUCACAUUGCUUCCAGUAUUUUUAUAGCCGGCUCGGGUGCCGGCUACUUUUU